AUACGGAGGAUCCGAGCGUUAUCCGGAUUUAUUGGGUUUAAAGGGUGCGUAGGCGGUUUGCUAAGCGGGAGGUGAAAUGCCGGCGCUCAACGUCGGAAGUGCCUCCCGAACUGGUGGACUUGAAUGACUCUGCCGUGGGAGGAAUGUGUAGUGUAGUGGUGAAAUGCUUAGAGAUUACACAGAACACCGAUUGCGAAGGCAUCUCACGAAGGGUUGAUUGACGCUGAGGCACGAAAGCGUGGGGAUCAAACAGGAUUAGAUACCCUGGUAGUCCACGCAGUAAACGAUGAUGGCUAACCGCUGGGCUUAUCAGUUCAGUGGCCAAGCGAAAGCGAUAAGCCAUCCACCUGGGGAGUACGACCGCAAGGUUGAAACUCAAAUGAAUUGGCGGGG
rnacentral:rRNA from 1 species